AGGCGACCAAAAUAGACCUCCUCCUCGUCUCAUCUUCUUGGCCGGGAAGAAAGGAAGCGCCAGAGACCAGGCCAUGGUGGCGCCGCUGGAGUUCCUGGAGCCACGCUCACGGGCCUCUACCAGCGGGGGCUUGGGCACCAGCUCGCCCUCGCCCUCGUCCAGCUAGCUACAUGGUUCGGCUGCGCAUACGUAUGUGACCAGAAAAAGAAUUGUGCCAAUGGCUGUGUCCGACGACAAUGCUGGGAGAUUUUUUGUCCUCUAUCCUGAUUGUCCGGCAAAAAAGCUUGGUUGGCUUGCUUCACCGCAUCGUGAUUCACUGUGUUUGGUUUGUUAAUUAUGUAUUUUACUAUAACUGCUAGACGAGUGCGAGUCAUAUAUUCCAGAGACCGCCAUGUGGUGUGCAUGCGGUAGAACUUCACCAGCGAGCCCAUCGGUGUGAGGCCCACUUCAACUGUAAAAGGUGCCCAACACUAGGUGACCGAAAUAGAUCCUCCUCCUCGUCUCGUCUUCUUGGACGACAAGAAAGGAAGAGCCGGAGACCAGCCAAUGCUGCCACUGUUGGAGUUCAUGGAGGACCUCUACCCACGGACGCCCUGGCACCAGCGCACCCUAAACCUCCUGGCCCUCGUCGUCGUCCACGUCCGGCUGACUCGAUCCAUCCCUCCCUAUCCGCCGCCCUGUCUGCCAGUUAGUAUCAUGUAGCGGCGACCUCUGAUAUGCUUUUAGAGCCGAGAAGGAGACGCCCUUUUGGCUGCUUGGUUGGUAAUUCGAUUCCAUUUGGCACUCCAUAGGCUUUGUGGAUUCUCAAGGGGGAGAGGCAUGGGCAGUCACUCUCUUUUACUCUUGUUAUUAUCUCUUGAAGCUUCAUUAUUUGUAGUGCAUUCACAAAAAAAUGUUCGUCUCGCAGAGAUUUGUCACACAAUACAUACAUACGGAAAUUCGUAUGCAGUGACCUACCCACUUCAGCGUCGAUCUGUAAUUUUUCAA